rnacentral:lncRNA from 1 species
CUUCAAUCUAAUAUUGAGAACUGUGCAAUAAGCUUUCUGAACGAUUUAUGCCAAUCAUCUUUUCAUUAUUUCUUCACCAAUAUUGGCAGUGGUAAUUCCUUGUAUGUUAAUGCAGUUUUUUUUUUCCCCCAUCCAUUUUAGAUGCAACUGAUAUGAAACAAACCACAAAGGGUCUCUUUAGGCCGCAUUUUCCAAUUAUAUUAAAACCCAGAAAGCUCUUCCAUUGACCGGGGACACCACAGGAACUCUUUUUGCUUUGAACAGAUGCAGUGCCCUUCCUCUUUCUCGCUGCUGUUUCCCACUGAGCAUCUGCUGGGUUGAGCUGGUUGGUGGCCAUGGGUAAGUCUGUUGGCCAUUUAGUGAAAACCUGCUCAUGAAAAGGUGUUUACUAGAUUAAAUGCACAUUAACUUUGAUUGCUUGCUGCCUUAUGCAAUGAUUUCAUUGUAGAAACACUACAGGAAACUGGGUUGGUUUUGUUGUCAGCUUUUGAUGUCUUCUGGAGUGUUUUUUUUUGUA